rnacentral:tRNA from 1 species
GUGUUUAUAGUUUAAUUAAAACGUUAGAUUGUGAUUCUAAAAAUAAAAGUUAAAACCUUUUUAUUCACC